rnacentral:rRNA from 1 species
AUACGUAGGGAGCAAGCGUUAUCCGGAUUUAUUGGGCGUAAAGCGCGCGUAGGCGGCUUGUUAAGUCAGGUGUUAAAGGCAAGGGCUCAACCCCUGUUCGCACCUGAAACUGGCAGGCUUGAGUUUGGUAGAGGAAAACGGAAUUCCCAGUGUAGCGGUGAAAUGCGCAGAUAUUGGGAAGAACACCGGUGGCGAAGGCGGUUUGCUGGGCCACAACUGACGCUGAGGUGCGAAAGCUAGGGGAGCAAACAGGAUUAGAUACCCUGGUAGUCCACGCUAUAAACGAUGAGUGCUAGGUGUCGGGGGUCAAACCUCGGUGCCGCAGUUAACACAUUAAGCACUCCGCCUGGGGAGUACGGCCGCAAGGCUGAAACUCAAAUGAAUUGGCGGGG